rnacentral:rRNA from 1 species
UACGGAGGCUGCAAGCGUUAUCCGGAUUUAUUGGGUUUAAAGGGUGCGUAGGCGGAAUUGUAAGUCAGUGGUGAAAUCUUGCAGCUUAACUGUAAAAUAGCCAUUGAUACUGCAGUUCUUGAGUACACUUGAGGUAGGCGGAAUGUGUAAUGUAGCGGUGAAAUGCUUAGAUAUUACACAGAACACCAAUUGCGUAGGCAGCUUACUAAAUUGUAACUGACGCUGAUGCACGAAAGCGUGGGGAUCGAACAGG